UUUUUAGUAUAAAUAUGUUUCAUGAAAUAUUUGGGGCACACUUAUACUAAAA
rnacentral:pre_miRNA from 1 species